rnacentral:rRNA from 1 species
GAUGAACGCUGGCGGCGUGCCUAAUACAUGCAAGUCGAGCGAACAGACGAGGAGCUUGCUCCUCUGACGUUAGCGGCGGACGGGUGAGUAACACGUGGAUAACCUACCUAUAAGACUGGGAUAACUUCGGGAAACCGGAGCUAAUACCGGAUAAUAUAUUGAACCGCAUGGUUCAAUAGUGAAAGACGGUUUUGCUGUCACUUAUAGAUGGAUCCGCGCCGCAUUAGCUAGUUGGUAAGGUACCGGCUUACCAAGGCGACGAUGCGUAGCCGACCUGAGAGGGUGAUCGGCCACACUGGAACUGAGACACGGUCCAGACUCCUACGGGAGGCAGCAGUAGGGAAUCUUCCGCAAUGGGCGAAAGCCUGACGGAGCAACGCCGCGUGAGUGAUGAAGGUCUUCGGAUCGUAAAACUCUGUUAUUAGGGAAGAACAAAUGUGUAAGUAACUAUGCACGUCUUGACGGUACCUAAUCAGAAAGCCACGGCUAACUACGUG